rnacentral:rRNA from 1 species
AUGCAAACCACCAAAGAAGAACCGGCCGGCGCAGCCAUGGCGCCUGUCAAGGACGGCGAGCCGCCGUUGCACAUACUCUUUUUCCCGUUCCUCAUCCCCGGCCACCUCAUUCCGAUGGCCGACAUGGCGGCGCUGUUCGCGGGUCGUGGCGUCCGGUGCACCAUCCUCACCACGCCGUUCCAAGCCUCCAUCAUCCGCUCCGUGGUCGAUCGCGCCAACAAAGACAACCCUACUUCACCGUCGAUCGAUAUCUCCGUCGUUCCUUUCCCGGACGUCGGGCUUCCGCCGGGCGCCGAGAGCGGCAUGGGCCUCGCGUCCCAGGACGAGCGCGACAUGUUCAAUCAGGCGGUGCGGCUCCUCCGGGAGCCCUUGGAGCGGUCCCUGGCCGAUCACCGCGCCGACCUGGACGCGGUGGUGUCCGACAGCCUCUUCCACUGGUCCGUGGACGUCGCCGCAGAGCACGGCGUCCCACGGCUCGGCUUCACCGGCAGCAGCAUGUUCGCCUGCUCGUGCUUCCACAGCAUGCUGCGUAACUGCAACCCGUCGGACUUGGACAACUUGCAGUCUCCAUCGUCUUCCUCCACCGACGGUGAGAGUGAUCCGGAGGCCGUGAUGGUGGCGCUGCCGGGACUGCCGCACCGCGUGGAGAUGAGGCGGAGCCAGAUGAUGAAGCGGCCAGAAGAGUGGGCCUUCUUCCGAGGUGUCGACGCCACGGAGCAGAGGAGUUACGGCGAGUUGUUCAACAGUUUCUGCGAGCUGGAGCCGGACUACGUCAAGCACUACCGCACGACGCUUGGACGCCGAGCGUGGCUCGUGGGGCCGGUCUCGCUCGCCAGCGGCAGCAUGGGCGUGGCGUCGAGGGGCACCGACGCGCUCUCGCCGGAGGCGGACGGCUGCCUGCAGUGGCUCGACGGCAAGCCGGCUGGCUCGGUGGUGUACGUCGCGUUUGGUACGCUGGCCACCUUCUCGCCGGAGCAGCUGCAGGAGCUGGCCCGCGGCCUCGAUCUCUCGGGCAGCAACUUCGUGUGGGUCAUCUCCGCCACCGGCGCCACAACAUCUUCAGAUGAUUGGAUGGCGGAAGGCCUCGCGACGGCUUCGCGUGGGUACAUCAUCCGUGGGUGGGCGCCGCAGGUGCUCAUCCUGAACCACCCAGCCGUGGGCUGCUUCGUGACCCACUGCGGGUGGAACUCGACGCUCGAGGCCCUAAGCGCCGGCGUGCCGAUGGUGACGUGGCCGCGGCACGCCGACCAGUUCCACAAUGAGAAGCUCGUCGUGGAGUUACUCGGGGCGGGGGUCAGCGUCGGUGCCAAGGACUACGCGUCGCUCACAGAGGCUCAUGCGGUGAUCGCCGGUGCGGUGAUUGCCGAGUCGGUUAGGAGAGUGAUGGGUGCUCAGGGCGACGCAAUACAGAAAAAGGCCAGAGACCUCAGCGCAAGAGCGAGGGACGCGGUGGAGAAUGGUGGAUCAUCGUACGGCGACGUCGGGCGGCUGAUGGACGAGCUCGUGAACCGCCGGAUUCAACGGCACGACGCUCGUUGA